rnacentral:rRNA from 1 species
UACGAAGGGGGCGAGCGUUGUUCGGAUUUACUGGGCGUAAAGGGCGCGUAGGCGGCGGGUCAAGUCGAGUGUGAAAGUCCAGGGCUCAACCCUGGGAUGCCGGUGGAUACUGUCGGGCUCGAGUCCGGAAGAGGAGUGUGGAAUUCCGUGGUGUAGCGGUGAAAUGCGCAGAUAUCAGGAGGAACACCGAUGGCGAAGGCAGGUCUCUGGGCCACUACUGACGCUGAGAAGCGAAAGCAUGGGGAGCGAACAGG